rnacentral:rRNA from 1 species
AGAGUUUGAUCCUGGCUCAGGACGAACGCUGGCGGCGUGCUUAACACAUGCAAGUCGAGCGGAUCUCUUCGGAGGUUAGCGGCGAACGGGUGAGUGACACGUGAGCAACCUGCCCCUGGCUCUGGGAUAGCUCCCGGAAACGGGGAUUAAUACCGGAUAUGACCUGGGUCUUCAUGGGCCCGGGUGGAAAGUUUUUCGGCCAGGGUGGGGCUCGCGGCCUAUCAGCUUGUUGGGGGGGUAACGGCCCACCAAGGCGACGACGGGUAGCCGGCCUGAGAGGGCGACCGGCCACACUGGGACUGAGACACGGCCCAGACUCCUACGGGAGGCAGCAGUGGGGAAUAUUGCGCAAUGGGGGAAACCCUGACGCAGCGACGCCGCGUGCGGGAUGAAGGCCUUCGGGUUGUAAACCGCUUUCAGCAGGGGCGAAUCAAGACGGUACCUGCAGAAGAAGCGCCGGCUAACUACGUGCCAGCAGCCGCGGUAAUACGUAGGGCGCGAGCGUUGUCCGGAUUUAUUGGGCGUAAAGAGCUCGUAGGCGGCCUGUUGCGUCUGCUGUGAAAUCCCGGGGCUUAACCCCGGGCGUGCAGUGGAUACGGGCAGGCUAGAGGCAGGCAGGGGAGAAUGGAAUUCCCGGUGUAGCGGUGAAAUGCGCAGAUAUCGGGAGGAACACCGGUGGCGAAGGCGGUUCUCUGGGCCUGUUCUGACGCUGAGGAGCGAAAGCGUGGGGAGCAAACAGGAUUAGAUACCCUAGUAGUCC